CACAACGAAUACAACUGUCGUAAUCCAAGAGGAGAAAAAUUGGAGUGAUGCUUUAAACUACUGCAGACUGUAUCACACUGAUUUGGCUACAAUAGAAAACCAAGAUGAGAACGCAAAACUGAAGCAGCUGCUCAUCAUCAAUAAUGUGGUUAAAGCUUACAUGGGUUUAUACAGAGACACCUGGAAGUGGUCAGAUCAGAGUAGCUCUGAAUUCAGAGCCUGGAUGUUUUCUGAGCCCAAUAAUUUCGGGGGAACUGAAUUUUGUGCGCAACUGUAUAUGCCAGAUGGACAAUGGGGGGAUAAAUCAUGUUCAUUGAAACUCAGAUUUGUCUGUGGCACUGCAAAGAAGAUUCAAAUACUGAGAAUAAACCUACAGUCACCACUGAACCUUAAUGUCAGUGAUUUUAACAGCACCAUUUUACAACAGUUGCAGCAAAAGCUGAGGAAACUGGGACUGCCGAUUGACACCAACCUGACAUGGAGGACACAACCUGAUGGACAAAUAUUUCACACCCUGAACACAGCAAACACAAUAAAUGACUAGCGAUGUAAAACCGUAACAUGAAUAUUUCUCCGACGAAUAGCUUAGAAUGUGUUCAAAUUAAUUGGUAGGACUUGUAUGUGGUGUAAAUUAGCAUAAUUUCUAAUAAAUAUAGUUUUGUAUGGUUGUGUUCAGUAAAUUUUAAUAGUGCAAUAAGUAAUGAAGUUCUACCUGAUUAAAUGAAGUUGCUUGCUAUAGUGCCAACAUCUUAAGAAAUUAUUUUCUAAAAUAUUUAUAUUUCUAUCUGAAUAAUCUGUUUGACAUGUAUUGUUUGACAUGUAUUGUUGACAUUCUGUUCUUAGGUCCAACUGAGUCAACAAAGGUGGUGGUGGCAAAUAAAAUGAUUUGUGAAGUAGCAGCAUACUGUGGCCUGUUUAUGUUCUGUUGUUUUACAGCACUGCAUCACAUUGGAUUUAAUUUGUUGACAUUUUUGCCAUCAUCUCAUGAUAUCCCUG